AUGGCUGAUGCGACGCCAGCGGAAGCAAGCAGCAGCGGCGAGGCCGCGGGCGAGAAGAGCAAUAAGAAGAUCACGCUGAUCAGCUCCGACGGCGAGAGCUUCGAGGUCACGGCGGAGGCGGCGGCCAUGUCGCAGACCAUCCACCACAUGAUGGAGGACAACUGCGUCGAGAACGGCAUCCCGCUGCCCAACGUGCCCUCCAAGAUCCUCUCCAAGGUCAUCGAGUACUGCAACAAGCACGUCUCCAGCGGCGAGCAGGACCUCAAGAGCUUCGACGCCAGCUUCAUCAACGUCGACCAGGACACGCUAUACGACCUCAUCCUCGCCGCCAACUAUCUGGACGUCAAGGGGCUCCUGGAACUCUGCCUGCAGACGGUGGCCGACAUGAUCAAGGGCAAGACGGUCGAGGAGAUACGCAAGACGUUCAACAUCAAGUGCGACUUCUCGCCAGAGGAGGAGGCCGAGAUAAAAAAGGAGAACCAAUGGGCCUUCGAGUAG
rnacentral:rRNA from 1 species